rnacentral:rRNA from 1 species
GUGGGGAAUCUUCCGCAAUGGGCGAAAGCCUGACGGAGCAACGCCGCGUGAGUGAAGAAGGGUUUCGGCUCGUAAAGCUCUGUUGACGGGGACGAAUGUGCGAGAUGCGAAUAGUUUCUUGCAAUGACGGUACCCGUCGAGGAAGCCACGGCUAACUACGUGCCAGCAGCCGCGGUAAUACGUAGGUGGCGAGCGUUGUCCGGAAUUAUUGGGCGUAAAGGGAGCGCAGGCGGGAAGGCAAGUCAGUCUUAAAAGUGCGGGGCUCAACCCCGUGAUGGGAUUGAAACUGUCUUUCUUGAGUGCAGGAGAGGAAAGCGGAAUUCCUAGUGUAGCGGUGAAAUGCGUAGAUAUUAGGAGGAACACCAGUGGCGAAGGCGGCUUUCUGGACUGUAACUGACGCUGAGGCUCGAAAGCGUGGGGAGCGAACAGG